rnacentral:rRNA from 1 species
UACAGAGGGUGCAAGCGUUGUUCGGCAUUAUUGGGCGUAAAGCGCGUGUAGGCGGCCUUGCAAGUCGGGUGUGAAAGCCCUCAGCUCAACUGAGGAAGCGCGCCCGAAACUGCAGAGCUUGAGUACCGGAGAGGAUGGCGGAAUUCCCCAAGUAGAGGUGAAAUUCGUAGAUAUGGGGAGGAACACCGGUGGCGAAGGCGGCCAUCUGGACGGAUACUGACGCUGAGACGCGAAAGCGUGGGGAGCAAACAGG